rnacentral:misc_RNA from 1 species
AUCAGUUGUUCCAUCCAGAUACUGUGCUCCUGAAUCACAUAAGUACAUUUGAUCUGGGUCAAGUUCAGCACAUGUUUCUGCCUCAGGGGAAUAAUGGAUAAUGGCUCCAUUUGAACCAACAGAUGAAAUAGUUGGAAAACUCAGCCCUCUGAAAUGCUCUUUAGAUGCCCGGAACUCCUCUAGCUUAUCACUUGCAGAAACUUCUGUAAGCCGUUUCAAAUCCUUUAGUUUGUUCAUGCUCAUACUCUCAGCCUCUGCGAAGUAACCGGAUGCCCCAUAGAUUUCCUGCAUCUGCCUAUCCAGCCAGGCGAGAUAUUGCACGACUGCUGCCCCAUCCCGAAUGUGGGCGUUCUUCAAUCCUUUCAUCUCAACAGGGUUCUUUAGGGCUUUCGCAAGAGCCAAUGGUGACUGCUUAAGGAGGACUUUAUCAGCAUUCAAUUUCAAGUACAAAGCAAAGCAGCAUGCACCAGUGUCAACCCAAAUGAGGUCAUUCACAAGCUCUGCUGUCUGAAUUUCACCAUUUUCUGUAUCCUUGCCACAAUUAGUCUCCGUAUUCAAUCCGGACGGAGUUUUGUCAGCUGAAGAAGGAGUGAGUUGAUCAGAUGCAAGUAGGACUGCAUCUGAGCUAACAUCACCAUAUUCCCGUACAAAAAUUCCAUUUUCCUUCAUGUAAGAGUUUGCCUCAGAUGACAACUUUCUUUUAUCCACAUACAAGAAGGCCGAGGUCAAUGUCACAAUAGCAAAUGCAUGAACAACCGGGCUAUAUGAUACAUCUGUUCCACGGACAUUAUACAACCAGGCAACUUCAUCAAGUGCUGUUAUUAUUAUGGCACGAGCUUUUUCCUUUACAAGCUUUGCUCUCAAAUCUUUCAACUUAUCUGCAACAGAGCGACCAGCAAAUUCUAAAGGAUGCACGAUCAAGGGAUUUGUUUCGGCAGGUGGCUGAUUUUUCCAGACUUCAUCUACCAAGUUUCUAGCUGUUGGAACCAACUUUUGCUGUUUCUUAGCAAAAGCACGCUCCCAUUUCUGUGCAGUAUCUACUGAUAUACACCAUGGAUCAACACCAAUAGCUGCAUCCUUUGGCAGAUUAUCUGCCAUCCAAAUAUCAAGUGCAGGGUCUUCUCCCAUACGCAUGAGCUUCCAUUGCUCACUAAGCUGCUGAGCUGCCUGCAAAAAGUAGCGACCAUCGGUCCACAGAAGUGCUUCGUUCAUUGAUAUAAGCGCUAUACCAGCACUUCCGGUGAAUCCAGAGACGAAAUCGCGCCUCUUAUCUCGUGCAGAAACAUAUUCGCUCUGAUGAUAAUCUUCGGAAGGAACGAUUAAAGCAUUGAGAGGAGGAGAGUGAGAAGCCAUCAAAGACCUCAGAGCUGCGAGAGUGUCCGCCAUCGUCUGUCUCUUUCGUUAGUUCUGGGAAUGGAGCAGAGAGGGGAG